AUUGUUUCAUCAACACAUUGAGGCAGCUUGUUUCAUCAACACAUUGAGGCAGCUUGUUUCAUCAACACAUUGAGGCAGAUUGUUUCAUCAACACAUUGAGGCAGCUUGUUUCAUCAACACAUUGAGGCAGAUUGUUUCAUCAACACAUUGAGGCAGCUUGUUUCAUCAACACAUUGAGGCAGCUUGUUUCAUCAACACAUUAAGGCAGCUUGUUUCAUCAACACAUUGAGGCAGCUUGUUUCAUCAACACAUUGAGGCAGAUUGUUUCAUCAACACAUUGAGGCAGCUUGUUUCAUCAACACAUUGAGGCAGCUUGUUUCAUCAACACAUUGAGGCAGAUUGUUUCAUCAACACAUUGAGGCAGAUUGUUUCAUCAACACAUUGAGGCAGAUUGUUUCAUCAACACAUUGAGGCAGCUUGUUUCAUCAACACAUUGAGGCAGAUUGUUUCAUCAACACAUUGAGGCAGAUUGUUUCAUCAACACAUUGAGGCAGCUUGUUUCAUCAACACAUUGAGGCAGCUUGUUUCAUCAACACAUUGAGGCAGAUUGUUUCAUCAACACAUUGAGGCAGCUUGUUUCAUCAACACAUUGAGGCAGCUUGUUUCAUCAACACAUUGAGGCAGCUUGUUUCAUCAACACAUUGAGGCAGAUUGUUUCAUCAACACAUUGAGGCAGCUUGUUUCAUCAACACAUUGAGGCAGCUUGUUUCAUCAACACAUUGAGGCAGCUUGUUUCAUCAACACAUUGAGGCAGAUUGUUUCAUCAACACAUUGAGGCAGAUUGUUUCAUCAACACAUUGAGGCAGAUUGUUUCAUCAACACAUUGAGGCAGAUUGUUUCAUCAACACAUUGAGGCAGAUUGUUUCAUCAACACAUUGAGGCAGAUUGUUUCAUCAACACAUUGAGGCAGAUUGUUUCAUCAACACAUUGAGGCAGAUUGUUUCAUCAACACAUUGAGGCAGCUUGUUUCAUCAACACAUUGAGGCAGAUUGUUUCAUCAACACAUUGAGGCAGAUUGUUUCAUCAACACAUUGAGGCAGAUUGUUUCAUCAACACAUUGAGGCAGAUUGUUUCAUCAACACAUUGAGGCAGAUUGUUUCAUCAACACAUUGAGGCAGAUUGUUUCAUCAACACAUUGAGGCAGAUUGUUUCAUCAACACAUUGAGGCAGAUUGUUUCAUCAACAC